CCUACGGGUGGCAGCAGUGGGGAAUAUUGCACAAUGGGGGAAACCCUGAUGCAGCAACGCCGCGUGAAGGAAGACGGUUUUCGGAUUGUAAACUUCUGUUCUUAGUGAAGAAUAAUGACGGUAGCUAAGGAGCAAGCCACGGCUAACUACGUGCCAGCAGCCGCGGUAAUACGUAGGUGGCAAGCGUUGUCCGGAAUUACUGGGUGUAAAGGGAGCGCAGGCGGGAAGCCAAGUCAGCGGUAAAAUGUCCGGGCUCAACCCGGGCCGGCCGUUGAAACUGGGGAUCUUGAGUGGGCGAGAAGUAUGCGGAAUGCGUGGUGUAGCGGUGAAAUGCAUAGAUAUCACGCAGAACUCCGAUUGCGAAGGCAGCAUACCGGCGCCCGACUGACGCUGAGGCACGAAAGCGUGGGGAUCGAACAGGAUUAGAUACCCGAGUAGUC
rnacentral:rRNA from 1 species